rnacentral:ncRNA from 1 species
UAUUCUCAGGGCGGGGUGAAAGUCCCCACCGGCGGUAAAUCAUCUUCUAUGGUGAAAGCCCGCGAGCGCUCAUCCAGCCUUUGGGUUGGGUAGAGGUCAGCAGAUCCGGUGUAAUUCCGGGGCCGACGGUUAUAGUCCGGAUGGGAGAGGGU